AGCGAUCUGCGCCUCUCGACAGGAUUACACAAUCCCUGGGGCCAUACCCGAUCUUGAGGGAGCUGUCCCUGUCUUGACCCGUGGGUCAGGAUACAUGGCACCCACCUACUUUGUAGGCUCCCAGGAUCGACAAAAUCCAUCGGUUGUGUGGAUCGCAC
rfam:Rhizobium oryziradicis strain N19 scaffold3, whole genome shotgun sequence.